UACAGAGGCUGCAAGCGUUAUUCGGAUUCACUGGGCGUAAAGGGUGCGCAGGCGGCCAAGUGUGUUAGGCGUGAAAGCCCGGAGCUCAACUCCGGAAUUGCACCUAAAACUACAUGGCUAGAGCAUUGGAGAGGGAAGCGGAAUUCACGGUGUAGCAGUGAAAUGCGUAGAUAUCGUGAGGAACACCAGAGGCGAAGGCGGCUUCCUGGACAAUUGCUGACGCUGAGGCACGAAAGCGUGGGGAGCAAAAGGG
rnacentral:rRNA from 1 species